rnacentral:rRNA from 1 species
GAUGAACGCUAGCGGCAGGCUUAACACAUGCAAGUCGAGGGGUAACAGGGAGAAGCUUGCUUUUCCGCUGACGACCGGCGCACGGGUGCGUAACGCGUAUAGAACCUACCUUUUACAGAGGAAUAGCCCAGAGAAAUUUGGAUUAAUGCCUCAUAGUAUUAUAGAAUGGCAUCAUUUUAUAAUUAAACAUUUAUGGGUAAAAGAUGGCUAUGCGUUCUAUUAGCUAGUUGGUAAGGUAACGGCUUACCAAGGCUACGAUAGAUAGGGGUCCUGAGAGGGAGAUCCCCCACACUGGUACUGAGACACGGACCAGACUCCUACGGGAGGCAGCAGUGAGGAAUAUUGGACAAUGGAGGCAACUCUGAUCCAGCCAUGCCGCGUGCAGGAAGACGGCCCUAUGGGUUGUAAACUGCUUUUAUAUAGGAAGAAACCUUUCCACGUGUGGAAAGCUGACGGUACUAUAAGAAUAAGCACCGGCUAACUCCGUGCCAGCAGCCGCGGUAAUACGGAGGGUGCAAGCGUUAUCCGGAAUCAUUGGGUUUAAAGGGUCCGUAGGCGGACUAAUAAGUCAGGGGUGAAAUCCAACAGCUUAACUGUUGAACUGCCUUUGAUACUGUUAGUCUUGAAUUAUAUGGAAGUAGAUAGAAUGUGUAGUGUAGCGGUGAAAUGCUUAGAGAUUACACAGAAUACCGAUUGCGAAGGCAGUCUACUACGU